AGGACAAACGCUGGCGGCGUGUAUUAGGCAUGCAAGUCGCACGGCACUUCGGUGCAGUGGCGGACGGGUGAGUAACACGUGGGUAACCUGCCCUUCAGUGGGGAAUAACUCGCCGAAAGGCGAGCUAAUACCGCAUAUAACUCCCGGUGAGACUCCGGGCAGUAAAAGCAGUAAUGCGCUGGAGGAGGGGCCCGCGGCCGAUUAGCUUGUUGGUGGGGUAACGCCUACCAAGGCGACGAUCGGUAGCUGGU
rnacentral:rRNA from 1 species